rnacentral:sRNA from 1 species
UAUCUCUCCGUACGGGGAAGGAUGAGAAGCUUCGACUAAGGUUCGAUUCGAGCGCAGCGAGAAAGCGUUGCCGCAGGCAACGACCCGAAGGGUGAGGAGCGGAGCGACGAAUAAUCCUUCCC